UCCCUGGUGGUCCAGCAGCUAAGACUCUGUGCUUCCAAUGCAGUGAGUGUGGGUUCGAUCCCUAGUCAGGGAA
rnacentral:tRNA from 1 species